AUGAUGCUUCCCUCUGUUGUUCUUCUGCUGUGUGACCUCCACGCACGCAGGGUUCAAGACUGUCAGAGCUGGGAGCCACCUUCACAACUACCAGGGUUUCCGGAACCUCCUUUAUCUAGCCCUGGGGAUGGAAGAGAUGUCAUCAGAGACUCAGUAGAGGAAGCUGAGACCGAGCAGCCGCAGGAACGAGGGUCCGCAUGUGGACAGUCUGGUGAUGUGGACGCCCCAAGGGCCCUUGGAAGUUCCCUGGGAAUGGGAUCCAUCCCAGUACAUUUGGGAUGCAGGCACAAGGUCCCAGAGGCGGCCCGCGAAGCCAGUGGGGAAGGGAAGGCUGUUGUAGGUUUGCCUCGGGGAGGGGGUGGUUCCACCCUCUGCCGAAGUCCCUGGAACAAAGGCACGUGGCUUUCCAGCUGCCCUCGAGGCCAGGGUAGUGGCUGGGAGGGGCUGUGUGCCUCUGCCGGGUGGGGGAGAUUUCUUAGCUAAUCUAGUGUAGUCAAGUCAGACAUUUGUCUCUAAAUCAUAUUU
rnacentral:lncRNA from 10 species